AUCAACUUUCGAUGGUAGGAUAGAGGCCUACCAUGGUGGUAACGGGUAACGGGGUGUUAGGGCACGACACCGGAGAGGGAGCCUGAGAAACGGCUACCACAUCCAAGGAUGGCAGCAGGCGCGCAAAUUACCCAAUCCCGACACGGGGAGGUAGUGACAAUAAAUAACAAUACGGGGUUCUUUCGGAUCUCGUAAUUGGAAUGAGUACAAUUUAAAUCUCUUAACGAGGAACAAUUGGAGGGCAAGUCUGGUGCCAGCAGCCGCGGUAAUUCCAGCUCCAAUAGCGUAUAUUAAAGUUGUUGCAGUUAAAAAGCUCGUAGUUGAAUUUCGGGAUCAGUAGGUUGGUCAUGCCUAUGGUAUGUACUGGCUUUACUGGUUCCUCCUUCUUGAUGAUCUGUAAUGUCAUUAAUUUGGUGUUGCAGGGAGUCAGGACUGUUACUUUGAAAAAAUUAGAGUGUUUAAAGCAGGCAUACGCUUGAAUACAUUAGCAUGGAAUAAUGAAAUAGGACGUUCGAUCCUAUUUUGUUGGUUUCUAGGAUUGACGUAAUGAUUAAUAGGGAUAGUUGGGGGCAUUAGUAUUCAAUUGUCAGAGGUGAAAUUCUUGGAUUUAUUGAAGACUAACUACUGCGAAAGCAUUUGCCAAGGAUGUUUUCAUUAAUCAAGAACGAAAGUUAGGGGAUCGAAGACGAUCAGAUACCGUCGUAGUCUUAACCAUAAACUAUGCCGACUAGGGAUCGGAUGAUGUUAUUUUUAAUGACUCUUCGGCGCCUUACGGGAAACCAAAGUGUUUGGGUUC
rnacentral:rRNA from 1 species